UAUAUGUCGCAUUUGUGUUUCAAAAUAUAAUGUAGAUGAAAAAACUUUCAAUAUAUAUCCUGACACAUCAAGCUGAGAUAAUAUUUUGUCCAAAAUACUGUAUGUAUAUGAAAGACAUUAGAUAAAUGUUUGCGGUUUAACACAUGUUUCCCCUUAUUGUACAACUGGUUUUUUUAAUCCUUGCAAUUUAUUUCUGCGUUUAAAACGGUACUCAACAAAGAUAUAUUAUUAUUUAUUAUUUUUGACAGAGUUAUCAUUGUUUACUUUGAAAACAAUGUCAUUUACUGUAGUAUUUUUUUUUACAUAGUGAUUUCUAAGUGCACUAAUGUUGAUGUGAACAAGCCAACAUCUGUUGAUUUAUACAUAGUUCAGUGUUACAAAAUCGGCUGUCUUUUUGGGGUUUUUCUUUUAGUUUUCCAUUCUUGUUUCCUUUUCACGACAAGCACCUUUGGUGUGUUACCAUGGAUAUUGUUUCUGUUGUCCAAUGAAAACAAAGUAUUUCUUAUUGAUCAUUAUGAUAUAUUUAUCCAAUAAACCUGUUUUUCCCAUU
rnacentral:sRNA from 1 species